CAGGGUCUGGUUCAACAGGAAAUCAAACACCUUGAAGAAUAACCCUAACUCUAAAUUCCAUGUUAGGUAAAGCUCCAUCAAACUGUAAAAGGUUCAGCACAUCCCUCUUGCCCCUCAAACGCUUCAAGAGAAAGCUAUGCAAGUCUCAUUUCCAGUAUUUGAUGGUUUGCUGUUCAUGCAUACCUUCAUGCACUCUGCUUUCUCUCCUCUUUCUUCCUCCACUCCGGUCACCGCUGCACUUCAGCCAGUUUUUAAUAACUGCCUCGCAGUCGCUGGCCGAAAUGUUCUGGCUAGCCGAUGCACCUAAACAGAGAAAGUGUAUUUAUUUAGUUUAUUUAACAUUGAUUUAUUGAGGAGGAAAGAUCCUUUGAGAUUAGUAAUCCGUUUUUCAUGUCCUGGCCAAUAAUACAAUACAAAGUGCAUUACAAGUGUUUAAUGACAAGAUGCAUGCAGUACACUCCAUGGUUAUUCAAAAGAAAUGAAUCCAUUUCAUAAUUCAUAGCUCAAUGAGUGAUUUGUUUACAUACCUCUUACUGCAUUGCACUGUGGGAGGCAAAAGCCAGCUUCUUCCCUCCUCUGCCAAGCCAGUUGAAUUUCAGCGCGAAGUGGUUGGUGAGGAUGCGGCGAAGGAUUCUUCGAACCGCGUCACCAGGAUUGCAGCCCCCAAGCGCACUAAGGUGUGCUGCCUGCAGGUUAUCACUCUUGGAUUGGCAGGGGGAGCUGAUACCAAAGAUACAGUGUGGCGCAUUCUGAAACAGGCCAUCAAAAAUGACCUCGCCAAGAAAAUCUCAUGGCGGGGGGGAUGAAUGGAAAGAUUUCAUUUGAAAAUCUACACCUGAAGGCAGUAGUGAUGGAUGCAGUGAGGCGCAAUCCAUCCUGCUCAACCGCAACGGAUGUGCAGAUUGCGGAUGCCAUUAAGCAAUGGUUUUACUGGGCUGGGG
rnacentral:lncRNA from 1 species